rnacentral:lncRNA from 1 species
AUGUACCUGAUGAGACCUAGACUGCAAAAUUGAUGCAACACAACAUCUUGAACUGAGUCCCACCCACAAGGGACUGCAGUAGGAUGGGUCGAAACGACCGUUGUACAA